GGAGAGGUGGCUGAGUGGCUGAAAGCAACGGUUUGCUAAAUCGUCGUAGGGGCGACCCUACCGGGGGUUCGAAUCCCCCCCUCUCCU
rnacentral:tRNA from 1 species